rnacentral:lncRNA from 1 species
UCGGGUCGAAAGGGAACUUAAGAAGAAGCAUGGUUAAUUAUUUUUUGUUCUAAGGGUGACUUGUAUUGCGUCGGCCGUGUAGCCCAUCAUCCGUACCGAAUAAUAAAUCGGCCGAUUUGGAUGAUUAUGUUUUCUCUUUAGGCGAUUUUUCUUAUAUCAGCUGUGUGUUUGUUUUAUCAUGGUCGAUCCUUAUGCUCCGACCCAUAUACUAGGGUAGUACCUUUUCAAGUAUCUUCCGUUCAAAGCCCUAGUAAACUCUUCUCCUUCGAUCGUUUCCAGAAUAUAAGCGUUUCCCGGAGCACAUCGGCCGAUUUUAUACGGCCCUUCCCACGUAGGGGACCACUUACCGAAUUUAGGAUCCUUUGACCCGAUCGGCAGCACUAACUUCCAUACCAGGUCCCCCGGAGAGAACUGCUUGACCUUGACCUUCUUAUCAUACCAUCUGGC